rnacentral:rRNA from 1 species
GUACACAAAAAUGCACAUAUUGUGAGCUCGAUGAGUAGGGCGGGACACGUGGUAUCCUGUCUGAAUAUGGGGGGACCAUCCUCCAAGGCUAAAUACUCCUGACUGACCGAUAGUGAACCAGUACCGUGAGGGAAAGGCGAAAAGAACCCCGGCGAGGGGAGUGAAAAAGAACCUGAAACCGUGUACGUACAAGCAGUGGGAGCCUCUUUAUGGGGUGACUGCGUACCUUUUGUAUAAUGGGUCAGCGACUUAUAUUCUGUAGCAAGGUUAACCGAAUAGGGGAGCCGAAGGGAAACCGAGUCUUAACUGGGCGUUAAGUUGCAGGGUAUAGACCCGAAACCCGGUGAUCUAGCCAUGGGCAGGUUGAAGGUUGGGUAACACUAACUGGAGGACCGAACCGACUAAUGUUGAAAAAUUAGCGGAUGACUUGUGGCUGGGGGUGAAAGGCCAAUCAAACCGGGAGAUAGCUGGUUCUCCCCGAAAGCUAUUUAGGUAGCGCCUCGUGAAUUCAUCUCCGGGGGUAGAGCACUGUUUCGGCAAGGGGGUCAUCCCGACUUACCAACCCGAUGCAAACUGCGAAUACCGGAGAAUGUUAUCACGGGAGACACACGGCGGGUGCUAACGUCCGUCGUGAAGAGGGAAACAACCCAGACCGCCAGCUAAGGUCCCAAAGUCAUGGUUAAGUGGGAAACGAUGUGGGAAGGCCCAGACAGCCAGGAUGUUGGCUUAGAAGCAGCCAUCAUUUAAAGAAAGCGUAAUAGCUCACUGGUCGAGUCGGCCUGCGCGGAAGAUGUAACGGGGCUAAACCAUGCACCGAAGCUGCGGCAGCGACACUAUGUGUUGUUGGGUAGGGGAGCGUUCUGUAAGCCUGUGAAGGUGGCCUGUGAGGGUUGCUGGAGGUAUCAGAAGUGCGAAUGCUGACAUAAGUAACGAUAAAGCGGGUGAAAAGCCCGCUCGCCGGAAGACCAAGGGUUCCUGUCCAACGUUAAUCGGGGCAGGGUGAGUCGACCCCUAAGGCGAGGCCGAAAGGCGUAGUCGAUGGGAAACAGGUUAAUAUUCCUGUACUUGGUGUUACUGCGAAGGGGGGACGGAGAAGGCUAUGUUGGCCGGGCGACGGUUGUCCCGGUUUAAGCGUGUAGGCUGGUUUUCCAGGCAAAUCCGGAAAACCAAGGCUGAGGCGUGAUGACGAGGCACUACGGUGCUGAAGCGACAAAUGCCCUGCUUCCAGGAAAAGCCUCUAAGCAUCAGGUAACAUCAAAUCGUACCCCAAACCGACACAGGUGGUCAGGUAGAGAAUACCAAGGCGCUUGAGAGAACUCGGGUGAAGGAACUAGGCAAAAUGGUGCCGUAACUUCGGGAGAAGGCACGCUGAUAUGUAGGUGAAGCGACUUGCUCGUGGAGCUGAAAUCAGUCGAAGAUACCAGCUGGCUGCAACUGUUUAUUAAAAACACAGCACUGUGCAAACACGAAAGUGGACGUAUACGGUGUGACGCCUGCCCGGUGCCGGAAGGUUAAUUGAUGGGGUUAGCGGCAACGCGAAGCUCUUGAUCGAAGCCCCGGUAAACGGCGGCCGUAACUAUAACGGUCCUAAGGUAGCGAAAUUCCUUGUCGGGUAAGUUCCGACCUGCACGAAUGGCGUAAUGAUGGCCAGGCUGUCUCCACCCGAGACUCAGUGAAAUUGAACUCGCUGUGAAGAUGCAGUGUACCCGCGGCAAGACGGAAAGACCCCGUGAACCUUUACUAUAGCUUGACACUGAACAUUGAGCCUUGAUGUGUAGGAUAGGUGGGAGGCUUUGAAGUGUGGACGCCAGUCUGCAUGGAGCCGACCUUGAAAUACCACCCUUUAAUGUUUGAUGUUCUAACGUGGGCCCCUAAUCGGGGUUGCGGACAGUGUCUGGUGGGUAGUUUGACUGGGGCGGUCUCCUCCUAAAGAGUAACGGAGGAGCACGAAGGUUGGCUAAUCCUGGUCGGACAUCAGGAGGUUAGUGCAAUGGCAUAAGCCAGCUUGACUGCGAGCGUGACGGCGCGAGCAGGUGCGAAAGCAGGUCAUAGUGAUCCGGUGGUUCUGAAUGGAAGGGCCAUCGCUCAACGGAUAAAAGGUACUCCGGGGAUAACAGGCUGAUACCGCCCAAGAGUUCAUAUCGACGGCGGUGUUUGGCACCUCGAUGUCGGCUCAUCACAUCCUGGGGCUGAAGUAGGUCCCAAGGGUAUGGCUGUUCGCCAUUUAAAGUGGUACGCGAGCUGGGUUUAGAACGUCGUGAGACAGUUCGGUCCCUAUCUGCCGUGGGCGCUGGAGAACUGAGGGGGGCUGCUCCUAGUACGAGAGGACCGGAGUGGACGCAUCACUGGUGUUCGGGUUGUCAUGCCAAUGGCACUGCCCGGUAGCUAAAUGCGGAAGAGAUAAGUGCUGAAAGCAUCUAAGCACGAAACUUGCCCCGAGAUGAGUUCUCCCUGACUCCUUGAGGGUCCUGAAGGAACGUUGAAGACGACGACGUUGAUAGGCCGGGUGUGUAAGCGCAGCGAUGCGUUGAGCUAACCGGUACUAAUGAACCGUGAGGCUUAACCUU